rnacentral:lncRNA from 1 species
UGAUGGUCCAACCAACGGAAAGCCUGACAAAUCUAGUAGCACGCGGACCUAGCCAGGCACUGGUUUCUGGUCUUUGACAGCACUUCUGGGCUAUCAAACGGGGAGCGCUGUGCUCUGGUAAGUCAGCCCAGGAGGUGCACCUUCAAUGGCACCCCAUCUACUCCCACUCUACGCCAACUCCAUUAAGGAUUGACACACAAUCAGUAUAAUUACUGACUCAAUACUGGUCUUUGACAGCACUUCUGGGCUAUCAAAGCCCAGGAGGUGCACCUUCAAUGGCACCCCAUCUACUCCCACUCUACGCCAACUCCAUUUAAGGAUUGACACACAGUCAGUAUAAUUAAUUACUGACUCAAUACCAAGAAACCAACUAAACCAACACACACUGAAUUUGUCAAAUUGAUCGUCCCAAUCACCUUAUUGCUCCCACUUGGGUUACAAGCUUAAGUUACUAAGCUCA